UACGUAGGGGGCCAGCGUUGUCCGGAUUUAUUGGGCGUAAAGAGCGUGUAGGCGGCCAGGUAGGUCUGGUGUGAAAACUCGAGGCUCAACCUCGAGAUGUCAUCGGAAACCAUCUGGCUAGAGUCCGGAAGAGGAGAGUGGAAUUCCUGGUGUAGCGGUGAAAUGCGCAGAUAUCAGGAAGAACACCGAUGGCGAAGGCAGGUCUCUGGGCCAUAACUGACGCUGAGAAGCGAAAGCAUGGGGAGCGAACAGG
rnacentral:rRNA from 1 species